GGAAUUCAGCUCAGUGGUAGGACAUCUGCUUUGCAUGCAGAAGGUCUCAGGUUCAGUCCCUGGUAUCUCCA